GCGGGCAUAGUUCAAUGGUAGAACACUUGCCUUCCAAGUAAGACACACGGGUUCGAUUCCCGUUGCCCGCU
rnacentral:tRNA from 1 species